UCCGAGUUGACCCCGGCAGUCUCCUGCGAGUCCCCGCCAUUACGCGCUGGCAACACAGGACAAGGGUUGCGCUCGUUGCGGGACUUAACCCAACAUCUCACGACACGAGCUGACGACAGCCAUGCACCACCUGUAUACCGACCACAAGGGGGGCCGUAUCUCUACGGCUUUCCGGUAUAUGUCAAACCCAGGUAAGGUGGGGAUGACGUAUAGGAGCUCGAC
rnacentral:misc_RNA from 1 species